rnacentral:rRNA from 1 species
CCGGAGUGGACGCAUCACUGGUGUUCGGGUUGUCAUGCCAAUGGCACUGCCCGGUAGCUAAAUGCGGAAGAGAUAAGUGCUGAAAGCAUCUAAGCACGAAACUUGCCCCGAGAUGAGUUCUCCCUGACUCCUUGAGAGUCCUGAAGGAACGUUGAAGACGACGACGUUGAUAGGUCGGGUGUGUAAGCGCAGCGAUGCGUUGAGCUAACCGAUACUAAUGAACCGUGAGGCUUAACCUUACAACGCCGAAG